GAGAGGAAAUCUCCACUGAAGUCAUGAGGUUGCCUGACAUCUGAAAGGCCUGCAAAUGAGACAGCUGCUUCCCACUGCUUUUCAUUAAUGUGCUGGGAAUGAUCACCUGCCUGAGUGAUGGGAGCUUUCACAAUGAAGUCACAAUGAAGAAAUCCAGAUAGAUACUGGAAAGAUACUUGUGAAUUCUUUCAUUGAUUGGGAAUUCUGCACCAGUCAGCAGAAGAUGUGUCUGGUGAGAACAAGGAGCCAAGGAGCUGUUGAUAAAAUAUCAGUGUUGAUCAUUUGGAAAGCCUUUUGUGUCGCAGUGCUGCACUAAAGACGUGAAUUUACCUGAUAUCAGAAAAACCAGGAAAGAUUAAUCCCACCCUCCUGGUCCCUUUGUCACUAGGCAGAACAGAAGAGUCCCUAAUGCUGCAGUUGUGUUGGAUCAACUCUAUUUACCUGGAAUUUUCCUUUUCUAGAACACUUAUAUUGGACAGUCUAGUCCAGGCUCAUCUUCCACUGCUUUAUGGGAGAAUAAAAGUUUUACAGUCUAAAGGCUUGGCAAGUGUGACAGUUUUCUCAAUGCCUGCCCAGAGCUGUAAAAUACCAGUGCAAGAACUACAGCUAGAGGAAGGACAGAAGCAAAGAUGUUCUUGUAAAUGAAUCAACAUGCUUUGUGCAAGUUUGUAGUAUUUUAUUCCUGUGUACACGGACUUUCUUCUCAUUCUUUGAAACAGUUUCCCACCAUGCAUCAGUUCUGAGCUUUCCUCAGAAACAUUGCACCAGUGUUUUUUUAUUUAAUGACAUUAUAGACUUAACAGCAAUUCCUCCCAUUUUUGCUUUUUGUGAGCUUUAAGCCAAACAUAAUGACACUUACAUAAAACUAAAUUAUUUUCCUUCUCAUUUGUACAACCUGUUCCAAUCUUAUUUAGUCAUUUUCAAAAUGAGUCUUUAGUUAGAAAAACUACUCCAAGUGAGGUUUCUGUCCCUUAUUCUCUAGUACUCUCAUUUUGGAGGAAAUAAAUCAUGACAUUCUCAGAAUCAGAUUAUUCCCAGUUACUAUAUAAUUCUGUGAUUUAGUUUCAUUAUGUAAUAUUGGCAGCAAGAAGAUUCUUAAUUAGUUGUACUUGCUCUUCAGAAAAGUUUUUAGAGAAGUCAGUAAAAUCAAAAGUUCAACCUAAGCAUGUUCUCCACACUUAAAUUAACCAGAUUAAUCUACUAGAGUAGCUUGAGGUUAUAAGAUGAGGAAAGAUGUGAUUCUUAGCAAAAACGGCACAUGGAAUAUUAUAGGAGGCAAAGGCAGUCCCAAGGAGAAUCAUUUCCCAAGGAAAUACAGCUUUGAUUUAGGGAAGAACACUGCCAUUCCAUGUUUCCUCUGCUGCAGCACGAUGGACUGUUCCAGACGAGUGCUGGAUAACAAACAAAAAUGAAAUAUGGCCUCCAGGCUGAGCAAUUUAAAAGAGGUUCAGACAAGACAUAUCAAGCAAAAUCAAAGUUUCCCUCAUGAAUCACUGCUUUUGCAGAAUCUCCUCUUCUUUCCUCCCCCCCUCUGGUUAUUUACAAUGAUAAAUUUGAUUCAAAACUCCUGCAUUUAAGUAAGACAGAGCCUAAGAAGGAGAUGAAAUUGUAUGAAUGAUUAAUAUAUACCCUGUCUAUGGAGCACUGGAAGGAAUCUACAGUUUUUUGAGUCUGUA